AGGUCAUGAUGGGGGCACUGUCUCAACAUGCUCUUGAAUCUGUCCCAGGCUUCAAAUAAUGAUUUUGAGUCUAUCUGUUUGAAGCUUGUGAUCAAGUCUCUCAUGU